CCUACGGGAGGCAGCAGUGGGGAAUAUUGCACAAUGGGGGAAACCCUGAUGCAGCGACGCCGCGUGAAGGAAGAAGUAUUUCGGUAUGUAAACUUCUAUCAGCAGGGAAGAAAAGGACGGUACCUGACUAGGAAGCCCCGGCUAACUACGUUCCAGAGCCCGCGGUACUACGUAGGGGGCAGGCGUUAUACGGAUUUACUGGGUGUAAAGGGAGCGUAGGGGGUUUAGCAAGUCUGAAGUGAAAGCCCGGGGCUCAACGCCGGCACUGCUUUUGAAACUGUGGACCUAGAUUGCAGGCGAGGUAGGUGGAAUUCCUAGUGUAGCGGUGAAAUGCGUAGAUAUUAGGAGGAACACCAGUGGCGAAGGCGGCUUACUGGACUGUAAAUGACGCUGAGGCUCGAAAGCGUGGGGAGCAAACAGGAUUAGAUACCCGGGUAGUC
rnacentral:rRNA from 1 species